GAGGGGUUCAUAACCCAAGGUCAGGAGCAAAAAAUUGCAAGCUAAAUUGAUCCAUUUAUGGGUUGAAACAAGCAUCUAGAUUUUAGUGAAGGAAUGAAAUUCCCAUAGCGAAAGUGUGUAAACGCCGUGCAAAAGAAAUUCAUUUUGAAACACAGAGAAAACUCCUAAACAUGCUUCUAUGGAGAAAAAGAAGAAAAUAAAACUAACGUUUGUAGAACCUCCCAAGAAUUCUCGAACCUCCCAAAGACCACCACAAAGUCUUCCUUGUUAUCCUCAAA
rnacentral:lncRNA from 1 species